rnacentral:lncRNA from 1 species
GCCAGACAGUUUAUAGGAUGAUCAUAUGACAGAGGGAAGGGCUUAAGAAUCAUGGAGAAGCUAAACUAGUCUAGGUUGACAAUAGUCAAGUGUCCAAGUAUUCAGUGUGAAGAAGGAAAAUGGGUUGAGGGAAUGGGUGAAUGGGAUGACUAGAAUCCCUUUCACACAAGAGUUUUCAUGUGGCUUUUAGCGGCAACUAAUUUAGGCUCACCAAAAUAUAUGUGCUGAACAAAUGCUUUUUCCUAGUUAGAUUCACCUCUGUCAAGACUUUAUGCUUUAUUACAGGCAGAAAAUGCAUCAGCUGGACUGUGUUAGUUUUGCUGGCAGAUUAAUGACACACACUCCACUUUUUGUCAAACCUCUGUCCUAGCUGAAGUGCUCAGAAAGUUAAAAAAUCUGGCCUAGCGUGGAGAAAAGGCAGGCCUUCAUUUUUUAAAAAGAGAUUUUUCACUUCUAGUCAAAUGGUGGUGCUAUUUCUUCAUUUUUGAGGCAUUGCAUUUCCUAAUUUCUUGGUCAUAACAACCUCCUGUGUAUUGCCACAGAGCAGAUUUCACCAAAACAGAGAAUGCAAGGGCACAUGCAUAGAAGCUGUUUAAUGGGCUAGAAAGGUUAAUAGUCCUUCCUCCUGCAUAUUCUAUAGUAUAAGAAGACAGACAGGCUGUGAGGGGGAUUCUUCUGUCCAACCUGGAGACUUUGACUGCACUCAAAAGAAGAAAAGCUGUGGGCUGUCCCCUCCUCCCAGCCUUGGAGAUCUUAAAAAGGUACAAUUGCUAAUUCUAGGGUUUUUUGAGCUAUGGAGAAAGGUAAAUAACUUUGAAGUUAAACUAUGGAGGAACUGACCAGGGCUUAUUAAUUCUGCGCACAGACUACCUGCAGUCGUAUGCCAGGAUGACGUAGGUAAAUGUAUGCCAUUCCUCAGCCUUCAUUAAGAAGAAAUGAAGGAGAAAGGAGACAUUUUAAAAGCAAUUAGACCCAAAAAGAACAGGAAUAGAGAGAAGGGUAAGAGAAGGAAG